ensembl:rRNA 5S_rRNA 5S ribosomal RNA
GUCUGAAACGAUAUCACCCUGUGUGCACCUGAUCUCAUCUGAUCUCAAAAGCUAAGGCAGGGUAGGGACUAUUUAGUACUUGGAUGGGAGUCUGGUACUGUCUAUGGUUUCAGUCA